CAGCAUUGUGCUAUGGCCUUUGGUUUUUCUUGUAACCAGUAAGGUCUGAAAGCUAUGCAAAAGAAACUUCCUUCUUUCCACGAUAGACAUCGCUGCCGUGGCUUGUUACUAUCGACAGGAGGUUACACAU
rnacentral:snoRNA from 1 species